GUGGCGCACGGGUGAGUAACGCGUAGACAAUCUGCCCUUCAGUCUGGGACAACUUUUCGAAAGGAGAGCUAAUACCGGAUAACAAUGCAUGACACAAGUUGUAUAUUUGAAAGCUUUAUGUGCUGAAGGAGGGGUCUGCGUCCCAUUAGCUAGUUGGUAAGGUAAAGGCUUACCAAGGCAACGAUGGGUAGCGGGUUUGAGAGGACGAUCCGCCACACUGGAACUGAGACACGGUCCAGACUCCUACGGGAGGCAGCAGCGGGGAAUAUUGCACAAUGGAGGCAACUCUGAUGCAGCAAUGUCGCGUGAGUGAAGAAGGCCCUUGGGUCGUAAAGCUCUUUUAUGGGGGAAGAUGAUGACGGUACCCCAAGAAUAAGCACCGGCUAACUAUGUGCCAGCAGCCGCGGUAAUACAUAGGGUGCGAGCGUUGUUCGGAAUUACUGGGCGUAAAGGGCGCGCAGGCGGAAUAGUAAGUCGGAGGUGAAAGCCCGGGGCUCAACCCCGGAGGGUCUUUCGAAACUACUAAUCUAGAGAGGGUCAGGGGCCGGCAGAAUUCCUGGUGUAGAGGUGAAAUUCGUAGAUAUCAGGAGGAAUACCGGUGGCGAAGGCGGCCGGCUGGGGCCACUCUGACGCUGAGGCGCGAAAGCGUGUGGAGCAAACAGGAUUAGAUACCCCUG
rnacentral:rRNA from 1 species